CCUACGGGAGGCAGCAGUGAGGAAUAUUGGUCAAUGGGCGCAAGCCUGAACCAGCCAAGUCGCGUGAGGGAUGACGGUCCUAUGGAUUGUAAACCUCUUUUGUCGGGGAGCAAGGCCCGCCACGUGUGGCGGGAAGGAGAGUACCCGAAGAAAAAGCAUCGGCUAACUCCGUGCCAGCAGCCGCGGUAAUACGGAGGAUGCGAGCGUUAUCCGGAUUUAUUGGGUUUAAAGGGUGCGUAGGCGGAAGGUUAAGUCAGCGGUAAAAUGUCGGUGCUCAACACCGGCCUGCCGUUGAAACUGGUCUUCUUGAGUGAGCGAGAAGUAUGCGGAAUGAGUGGUGUAGCGGUGAAAUGCAUAGAUAUCACGCAGAACUCCGAUUGCGAAGGCAGCAUACCGGCGCUCAACUGACGCUGAGGCACGAAAGCGUGGGGAUCGAACAGGAUUAGAUACCCCAGUAGUC
rnacentral:rRNA from 1 species